rnacentral:rRNA from 1 species
AUUGAACGCUGGCGGCAGGCUUAACACAUGCAAGUCGAGCGGGGGAAGGUAGCUUGCUACCGGACCUAGCGGCGGACGGGUGAGCAAUGCUUAGGAAUCUGCCUAUUAGUGGGGGACAACAUCUCGAAAGGGAUACUAAUACCGCAUACGUCCUACGGGAGAAAGCAGGGGAUCUUCGGACCUUGCCCUAAUAGAUGAGCCUAAGUCGGAUUAGCUAGUUGGUGGGGUAAAGGCCUACCAAGGCGACGAUCUGUAGCGGGUCUGAGAGGAUGAUCCGCCACACUGGGACUGAGACACGGCCCAGACUCCUACGGGAGGCAGCAGUGGGGAAUAUUGGACAAUGGGGGGAACCCUGAUCCAGCCAUGCCGCGUGUGUGAGGAAGGCCUUAUGGUUGUAAAGCACUUUAAGCGAGGAGGAGGCUCUUUUGGUUAAUACCCAAGAUGAGUGGACGUUACUCGCAGAAUAAGCACCGGCUAACUCUGUGCCAGCCGCCGCGGUAA